GUCGUCGUGGCCGAGUGGUUAAAGCGACAGACUAGAAAUCUGUUGGGCUCUGCCCGCACAGGUUCGAAUCCUGUCGGCGACG
rnacentral:tRNA from 1 species